AGGGAAUAUUGCGCAAUGGGGGCAACCCUGACGCAGCAAUGCCGCGUGAGUGAAGAAGGCCUUCGGGUCGUAAAGCUCUUUUAUGGGGGAAGAUGAUGACGGUACCCCAUGAAUAAGCACCGGCUAACUACGUGCCAGCAGCCGCGGUAAUACGUAGGGUGCGAGCGUUGUUCGGAAUUACUGGGCGUAAAGGGCGUGCAGGCGGAUUGGCAAGCCGGAGGUGAAAGCCCGGGGCUCAACCCCGGAGGGUCUUUCGGAACUGCCAGUCUUGAGAGGGUCAGGGGCCAGCGGAAUUCCUGGUGUAGAGGUGAAAUUCGUAGAGAUCAGGAGGAACACCGGCGGCGAAAGCGGCUGGCUGGGGCCACUCUGACGCUGAGGCGCGAAAGCGUGGGGAGCAAACAGG
rnacentral:rRNA from 1 species